UGAGGUGUAGCUCAGUGGUAGAGCACUUGCCUAGCAUGCAUGAGGCACUGGGUUUGAUUCCUAGCAUUGUAA
rnacentral:tRNA from 1 species